rnacentral:lncRNA from 1 species
AUCAAGACAGUUUCUCUCUCUAGACUGUUCUUGAGCUUGGCAUUUUCUCUAAAUCUAACAUGGUAUCUGAGCACCAAAGAUCCAAUCAUCUCUUCUCUGUUGCUGCUCAUAAAUUGCUUUUCUUAUGAAGGUCAGUAAUCCAUUUUCGUUUACUUUGCCUAAUCAUCCACGAUUGGAGCAUUGAUCUCUCACAUUUUCAUAUGCAAAAUUUUCGUUGCAAAUUUGCAACUCUUUUGGUUCAUCUACAUAUUUGCAACUCUUUCAUGUUCUUAACUCUUUGAAACCCUUUGCUGCUAAUUUGCAGCCCUCUCAUUGCAAACUUCAUUGCAAAUAGUUGCGUAUGCAAUUUUUUAUUAGGCAAAGAGAGAGAGAGAGAGAUUGACCUCCAACAAUGGCGUUUUCUGUUGGACCUUUUGACCAAUUGCUUUAAAGAGAGAGGUUUGCCUGAACUCGUUCUAGGGCAUUUUUGGGGCACUUUUUAUGGAGAGUUGUAUGAGUUGCCUUGCUGUGUAUUUGAUGCUGGUUCAUUGAGAUUGUUGAAGAUAACCAAUAGCAGGCUCGAGGUUCCAUUUAGCUUUAAUGGCUUUCCCCAUAUAGAAACUGUUGAUUUGAAAAAAACGGUGAUCUUGGUAUAUGGAAUGAAGACACAACAAGGGGACCCAUCAAUUUAAUAUUAUUUUAAUACUCUUUCAGGUAUAUGGAAUGAGAUGGACUCGAUGGAGAUAGAGCCACCCACUGAAGCUGUUACUAAAGCACAAAAUCAGUUUUGCUUAUUUCACUUUUUAUGGGAUUGCGAUCGGAGUUUGAAAGCAUGAGAGCAUCAAUCCUUCAUUCUACUCCCACUCCACCAUUAGAUGAUUACCUCUUAGAUCUCCUAGCUGAAGAAACUCGCUUAAGCUCUCUCGGGGUUUGCAAAUCAACAUUACAAGAUGUCACUGAUGUAGCCUUAGCCACGUCCAAUUUCCCUAACAAAUAUACUAAUUAUAUCCAAGUGCAAUGUUACAUAUGCAAACAAAGAGGCCACAUGGCCGAUCGGUGCAAGAAGUGCACGUUUUGUAAUUAUUGUAAGAAGCUCAGACAUGUAAUAAGUUAUUGUCAAAAACGACCUUAGGCACGUGGCAAGCCUCAUGUACCUAAUCAGACUCAAUGGACUGCAAUCGCCUCCAUUCUUAGUUCACCCAGCAUGGAGGAUGCCACUUCCAGUCACUCUCAUUCUGCCUCCACAUCUGUUACCACUGUAUCCAUGCCAGAUCUUCAUUUCAUUUACUCAACUACACUCCCAUAACUUGCUCAGGUUUUGGCUGCCAUGGGUUUUUCAAGUAAUUCAAAUUCUUUAUCAAAUACUUGGAUCAUAGACUUAGG